GAGCACGUAGGUGGGUUUGUAAGUCAGAUGUGAAAGCCUUCUGUUCAACGGGAGAAUUGCAUCUGAAACUGCUAAUCUUGAGUAUAGGAGGGGAGAAUGGAACUUCUGGUGGAGCGGUGAAAUGCGUAGAUAUCAGAAGGAACGCCGGCGGCGAAAGCGAUUCUCUGGCCUAUUACUGACACUCAGUGUGCGAAAGCUAGGGGAGCAAACGGGAUUAGAUACCCCGGUAGUCCUAGCCGUAAACGAUGGGCACUAAGUAGAGGGAAUUACCUAUGUUCUCUCUGCCGUAGCUAACGCAUUAAGUGCCCCGCCUGGGGAGUACGGCCGCAAGGCUAAAACUCAAAAGAAUUGACGGGGGCUCGCACAAGCGGUGGAGCAUGUGGCUUAAUUCGAUGCAACGCGAAAAACCUUACCGGGGCUUGACAUGAUAGAAGUAGGAACCUGAAAGGGGGACGAACGGUAUCCAGUCCGUAGCUAUUACAGGUGUUGCAUGGCUGUCGUCAGCUCGUGUCGUGAGACGUUGGGUUAAGUCCCCUAACGAGCGAAACCCUUGUUUUUAGUUACCAGCGGGUUAUGCCGGGUACUCUAGAAAGACUGCCGUCGUCAAGACGGAGGAAGGUGGGGACGACGUCAAGUCAUCAUGGCCCUUAUGCCCCGGGCUGCACACGUGCUACAAUGGCCGGUACAAACGGAAGCGAAGCCGAGAGGUGAAGCGAAUCC
rnacentral:rRNA from 1 species